rnacentral:rRNA from 1 species
UACGGGGGGGGCAAGCGUCGUUCGGAAUUACUGGGCGUAAAGGGCGCGUAGGCGGCCUAUUAAGUCGGACGUGAAAUCCCUCGGCUCAACCGGGGAACUGCGUCCGAUACUGGCAGGCUUGAAUCCGGGAGAGGGAUGUGGAAUUCCAGGUGUAGCGGUGAAAUGCGUAGAUAUCUGGAGGAACACCGGUGGCGAAGGCGGCAUCCUGGACCGGUAUUGACGCUGAGGCGCGAAAGCUAGGGGAGCAAACGGG